rnacentral:tRNA from 1 species
GCCUUUGUAGCUCAGGGGUAGAGCACUUCCUUGGUAAGGAAGGGGUCACCAGUUCAAUUCUGGUCAAAGGCU